CUGCGUUAGGGAUUGUAGUGGAUAGCCCACAGCGGAGGCACGACGCGAGGACUUGGAACGGAAAGCCCGACCCAAA
rnacentral:misc_RNA from 1 species